UAGCAUUUAGGAAGUGCUUAGCUGGUUAUAGUAAGAAAACCUUAAUUUAACCUGUUCGUCAUGAGCUUGCCUGUGGGAUACAUGCAAGCU
rnacentral:sRNA from 1 species